rnacentral:rRNA from 1 species
GACGAACGCUGGCGGCGUGCUCAACACAUGCAAGUCGAGCGGUAAGGCUCCUUCGGGAGUACACGAGCGGCGAACGGGUGAGUAACACGUGAGCAAUCUGCCCUUCACAUCGGAAUAACUUCGGGAAACCGAAGCUAAUACCGAAUACGACCAUCGGAGGCAUCUCCUGAUGGUGGAAAGCUCCGGCGGUGGAGGAUGAGCUCGCGGCCUAUCAGCUUGUUGGGGGGUAACGGCCCACCAAGGCGACGACGGGUAGCCGGCCUGAGAGGGUGACCGGCCACACUGGGACUGAGACACGGCCCAGACUCCUACGGGAGGCAGCAGUGGGGAAUAUUGGACAAUGGGCGAAAGCCUGAUCCAGCAACGCCGCGUGAGGGAUGACGGCCU